UCCCUGAUGGCUCAAAGGGUAAAGCAUCUGCCUGCAAUGCGGGAGACCUGGGUUUGAUCCCUGGGUGGGGAG
rfam:TPA: Bos taurus chromosome 7, whole genome shotgun sequence.